GUUCAUUGUAAAAAUAUACUGCCAAUAAUCCCAUUUGAUAACUUUUCUGACGGAAAUGGAUCGACGAAUUUAAAAAAGUAGAAGAAGUGCCAUUCAGUCAGACAUUGCACGCACCUGUCUGGCUCCAGGUAAAUAACUAACAGUUUUUAGUGUAAUUAAUAAGUCAAGAUAUAGCCAGGGUCAAAAAAUAUUGGUGGGCAGCAACUGAUAUUCGUUCCCUUAGAGUUUUGUUUUUGUUUAUUAGUAUUUUGCAGCCUAU